CUAGCGACUUCUAGAGUUUGAUCCUGGCUCAGGACGAACGCUGGCGGCGUGCCUAACACAUGCAAGUCGAACGAAGAGUUUAUUGAGGAGACUUCGGUCAACGAGAUAAAUUUCUUAGUGGCGGACGGGUGAGUAACGCGUGAGCAAUCUGCCUUUCAGAGGGGGAUAACGUUCUGAAAAGAACGCUAAUACCGCAUAAUGUAUAAUGAUGGCAUCAUCGAAAUACCAAAGGAGCAAUCCGCUGAAAGAUGAGCUCGCGUCUGAUUAGAUAGUUGGUGGGGUAACGGCCUACCAAGUCGACGAUCAGUAGCCGGACUGAGAGGUUGAACGGCCACAUUGGGACUGAGACACGGCCCAG
rnacentral:rRNA from 1 species